UUUAUUUUCUUCUACGGAGCCAGGGCACUGAGGUUCUGAGCGUUUGCUGCUCUUCCAAGAGCCCCAAGUUUGACUUCCAGAGCUCACAGGGAAGUUCACAGCCAUUGGCAACUCCAGUUCCAGGGGAACGUAUGCCCUCUUCCAGCCCUCAGGUACCAGGCAUGCAUGUAGUACACAGACACACAUGUAGUUAUACAACACCCCAUUAGUUAAUUAAUUACAUUAAUUAAACAUUAUAAUUUUAUCCAAUCCAAAGAUAGACACCAAUUUGAUAUUUACAUAUUGAGGAACAACAACCAUGGGGAAAUACUAAAUCUUUGUUUUUUUGUAAUUUAAUGGUUCUGACUAUUUAAGUGUUAGACAGUGUAGCAUGCAGUAAAACCCUACCAUUCAUAAUAUACAACAAUCUGACAUGUGUGUAAGGUAUUUCUGGCAGUGUUCACUGGCAUUGCAUAUGAUACAUUGCAUGGUAUGGCAGCAUGUGCUUGGAAAAUGAGCGUGUUGUAUGUUCAGAACCAAGGCGACAGUGAAGCUGCAGGAUAAAACACAGGUGGAUUAUACUGAGCAAGGAAGUCACAAGAACCAUGUCAGCAAAACCUCCUCUCUAUCCUGCACAUUUUUCUGACUGAGGCUCAUUUCUAUCUGAAGUUGCCACAGGGAUGAAGUAGGACCAACCAGCUUCCUGUUCUAGCCACCAUGCCUUUCUGCCUCUUGCCGGCCAUGUCUUUGCCAACCUGUUCCUGGAGGUUCAGAGAAGCUGGUGUAAAUGUGCUGCCUAGAACUGAGCACUCCAUAGCUACUUCUUCUCACCCCUUGAACAGGAUCGAGUCUCUGCACCCUCCACUGUUCAAUGCGAGGAGAAGCUUCUCUGAUUAAGGCUGAGAGUACGUUUGCUUAUGGGUAUAAACAUAAUAUUCUCAAGGCAGCUUGAUGCAUGUCAACUUAUUGAAAUGAUAAUAAGUCCCCCCACUAAGGUCAGUGACCUCCACAGCCAUGGAUAUUUAACCUGGUUCACUGUACGUACGAAUCAUGAC